rnacentral:misc_RNA from 1 species
GAAAUGCGAUAAGUAAUGUGAAUUGCAGAAUUCCGUGAAUCAUCGAAUCUUUGAACGCACAUUGCGCCCUCUGGUAUUCCGGGGGGCAUGCCUGUCCGAGCGUCAUUGCGACCCCCUCAAGCACGGCUUGUGUGAUGGGCCCUCCCGCGUCUUGGUCGUCAAGACGGGCCCGAAAUGCAGUGGCGGCUUCGCGGUUAUCCGAUCAGCCAGAGCGUAUGGGGACUUUCUCUCUGUCACACGCCCGCGGCGCGGACCGACGCCUGUCGACCUUUAUUCAUCUUUUUCUCGGUUGACCUCGGAUCAGGUAGGGAUACCCGCUGAACUUAAGC